ACGAACGCUGGCGGCGUGCUUAACACAUGCAAGUCGAACGAUGAAGCCUUUCGGGGUGGAUUAGUGGCGAACGGGUGAGUAACACGUGGGCAAUCUGCCCUUCACUCUGGGACAAGCCCUGGAAACGGGGUCUAAUACCGGAUAACACUCUGUCCUGCAUGGGACGGGGUUAAAAGCUCCGGCGGUGAAGGAUGAGCCCGCGGCCUAUCAGCUUGUUGGUGGGGUAAUGGCCUACCAAGGCGACGACGGGUAGCCG
rnacentral:rRNA from 1 species